rnacentral:lncRNA from 1 species
UUAUUAUCAUCAAUCUUAAUUGCCACCCUGAUUGCUUGUUCCAGUGAAACCGGUUCAGCAAUUCGUACCUCCGCCCGGACUUCCGGUUUCAGCCCCUUGAUGAAGGUGCACUCCAUUAUGUCGUCCGGAACACCCAAUAACUGACCCGCGAACCCUUCAAAUUUGUCAACAUACUCCCGAACUGUGCCCUCUUGACGGAUGUCAAGAAAUUGCUCUUUGACACUUCCUUCCUGUGAUUGUUGAAACCUCUCCAGCAACUUGCGUUUAAAACGAGACCAUGAACCAAAAGGCGACUUCUCCUCCUUCCAACGAAACCAUGACAGAGGUGAUCCCUCUAAGCAGAUUCCCACAGCUUUCAAUUUAUCCUUCCCACGGAAUUGAUGCAAUUCAAAAUAUCUUUCAACCUUGUAAAGCCAGCCCUGUGCAUCGUCCCCUGAGAAAAUUGGUAUUUCAUCUUCCUACAAUCACGGACCAGGUCUCGUUUCUUUCCCUCUUUCCCUUUCCUCGAUCGCUUUGAAACUCCUGAUCUUGAACUUCUGUCCGACAAAUCCGAGUCUUCAUCUGACUCGUCGCUGGGGUCUGAUGGCGAGUCGUAUUUGGAUUGCUUCUUCUUAGAUCCACCCACAGUCACCAUUAAUUCCGCCACCGCCUGGGUUAAUUGUUGGAUUUGAUCAGCAAAUUCCGCCUGGCGAGCCUCAGACGAUUCCACAGCCUUGUUGACAACAUCCUCCAAAGCCACAAUCCGUUCGGUGUUGCUGCCUUUGCCGGAAAGCUUUCCCCCUCUAUCUCUCUCACAGUCCCCACCAUACUAACUCUUUUUGUACUUUUUUCCCAGAGGAAUGAAGAUGAAGUGUUUGUUUCUUUAUCAUUGCAUCUUCCUACCACCUACUAAUGUAAUUAACCAUUGCUUCUUUUUUUAGAUCUUGUACCAUCUUUUCCUUAUAUAAAAGUUGUUAAUUGUUACAUUUCAUAAUUUGUAGAAAACCUAACCAGAUUUGUUGGGUUGUUGAUUUUGGGGGGAUUUGUGUCAAUUGUUGUGAAUAUAUCAGAAUCUCUUGAAGGAUGAUGGAAAAAAAUAAGAACAGGGAAAAUACCUAUGAGGUUAAUUUAUUUGAUUUGUUUAUUUUAUCAUUGAAUUUCUUGCAUUUUGAUUCCAUGUUUCCUUGCAAGUGAAGGGUUUGAGGAUUAACUCAAUAUGAACUACUACCAACAUCCAGAAUGGUAUGCAUCUAAUUAAAAAAGCAACAUACAGUUAGGGUUUGAGGAUGUUUACAUUAUCAUUGAGUGUCUUGUAUUUUUUAUGGUAAACAUCAUAUGGAUUUUCACUUAAAGGCAUCCCCAAGACUAAGUAAGUUAUUUUCUAGCCCUAAACUAAUUUAUGCUUUCAAUGUCAAAAUGUCUUUUAUAUUUUGUUAAUCUUUUUUUCAUUUAUGACAACGAUAAUUUAGUUUAAGUUAUACAAAUAUGGUGUAAUUAUAGUCUUAAUUUGUCAAAAAUGGUAUAUUUUUACACUGAAUGUGGUAUCAUUGAUUUUUUUAUUAUUAAAACAAAUCAUCUUUUUUCAUAUUAGCAAUACACUUUGAAAAUAUACCAUUUACAUCAACCUACAUUAAUUUUACUUCACUUUACAACAAUGUACUUUGUAAAUUUACUAAUUAGAGCAUCCUACUUUCAUUUUAAUAAGAAAUAAAAUAAAAGUAGGAUUAUGUGAUCGGUAGAUAUUCAAAGUUCAUUACUCUACAAUGAAGUAGAAAUAUAGUUGGUUGCUGUAAUUAGUAGAUUCUCAAAAUCUGAUCUAGAGUGCAGAUUUGUCAUGAGUUAUUUUUUUGGUGUAUUAGGGUUGAAGCUUUAGAUGAAAAACAGUAAAAUAAUUGGAUUUUAACUUUUAAAGGUUAGUGUAUUCGUACAUUAAUUUCUUACCAAAAAAAUAUUGGAUUAUGGCUGUUUUUUUCUUACUUUCUCACUGGUUUUAGUGUCACCGGCAAGAAGAAAGAAAAAUAGUUGUUUGGCUACAUCCAUUAACGUGUAGAUUUAAUCUGAAAAAAAACACACAUUGGUUGUCGGUUAUUUAUGGGUAGAAAAAAUAAAAUAUAAAACAAUGUUGUAAACUUGUGGAUUUAAACACCAAUUGCAUAUAUAUAUGGUAUAAAAAACAAUUGCAGACCUGAUAUAUUUUAUCUGCCGUAAUAUAAGAUUGAUUGGUGGCUGAUAUAGGACACACACACACACAAUUAAAGAGAGCCAUGAUAUAAAAGGGGUUAUAAUGUAUAUUAAUAGCAUUUCACAAAGAACUUACCUAUUAAGGUUUUUUCUUUUGCAAGGACCGAGAAAGAGAGAAUGCAGGAAAAAAACGUUGGCUGUUUCGGGUCCUGUAAACACACAUACAUCAUUAAGAGAGUGUAACUUUGUGUAGAGUGAGUUUGUGUAUGUCUGUAGUUUUUUUUCUCUUGUAUUAAAGAGGGAGAUAGAGAGCGAGUUUAUGUAUGUAGUAAACACACCCAACACACACCAUUAAUCGCAUUCACAACCUACAUACAUGUUAGGUUUUAUGUAUGCAAAACACACACAAACACACACCUAUAAUCUCAUUCAUAAAGACUAUACAUGUUUCGUAUUUUUCCUGCAGGAACCGAUCAAGAUAUUUGACAAAAUAGGGUUUUAGAUCGGAUAUAUAAAUAAUAAGUAGGUAGAGA